UUCCCUACGGGAGGCAGCAGUGAGGAAUAUUGGUCAAUGGCCGAGAGGCUGAACCAGCCAAGUCGCGUGAGGGAAGACGGCCCUACGGGUUGUAAACCUCUUUUGUCGGGGAGCAAAGCGAACCACGUGUGGUUCAUUGAGAGUACCCGAAGAAAAAGCAUCGGCUAACUCCGUGCCAGCAGCCGCGGUAAUACGGAGGAUGCGAGCGUUAUCCGGAUUUAUUGGGUUUAAAGGGUGCGCAGGCGGAGGUGCAAGUCAGCGGUAAAAUUGAGAGGCUCAACCUCUUCGAGCCGUUGAAACUGGUU
rnacentral:rRNA from 1 species